ACUGAACAGAUGCUAUACGAUAACAACAGAUGAUGCCUAUCAACUGUUUAAAAGAUGGUUCUGCUAUCACUCUUGGAUGGACCUGCGGUGCAUUAGCUAGUUGGUAGGGUAACGGCCUACCAAGGCGAUGAUGCAUAGCCGAGUUGAGAGACUGAUCGGCCACAUUGGGACUGAGACACGGCCCAAACUCCUACGGGAGGCAGCAGUA
rnacentral:rRNA from 1 species